rnacentral:rRNA from 1 species
UACGUAGGGGGCAAGCGUUGUCCGGAUUUACUGGGCGUAAAGCGUGCGUAGGCGGUUUGUUAAGUCUGUCGUGAAAGCCCUGGGCUCAACCUGGGAAUUGCGAUGGAUACUGGCAAGCUAGAGUACGGUAGAGGAUGGUGGAAUUCCCGGUGUAGCGGUGAAAUGCGUAGAGAUCGGGAGGAACACCCGUGGCGAAGGCGGCCAUCUGGACCAGUACUGACGCUGAGGCACGAAAGCGUGGGGAGCAAACAGG